GACGAACGCUGGCGGCGUGCUUAACACAUGCAAGUCGAACGGAAAGGCCCUGCUUUUGUGGGGUGCUCGAGUGGCGAACGGGUGAGUAACACGUGAGUAACCUGCCCUUGACUUUGGGAUAACUUCAGGAAACUGGGGCUAAUACCGGAUAGGAGCUCCUGCUGCAUGGUGGGGGUUGGAAAGUUUCGGCGGUUGGGGAUGGACUCGCGGCUUAUCAGCUUGUUGGUGGGGUAGUGGCUUACCAAGGCUUUGACGGGUAGCCGGCCUGAGAGGGUGACCGGCGACAUUGGGACUGAGAUACGGCCCAGACGCCUACGGGAGGCAGCAGUGGGGAAUAUUGCACAAUGGGCGGAAGUCUGAUGCAGCAACGCCGCGUGCGGGAUGACGGCCUUCGGGUUGUAAACCGCUUUCGCCUGUGACGAAGCGUGAGUGACGGUAAUGGGUAAAGAAGCACCGGCUAACUACGUG
rnacentral:rRNA from 1 species